UACGUAGGGGGCAAGCGUUGUCCGGAAUCACUGGGCGUAAAGCGCGCGCAGGCGGCGAUCUACGUCCGGGGUGAAAGCCCAGAGCUCAACUCUGGGACUGCCUUGGAUACGGGAUCGCUUGAGGAUCGGAGAGGCAAGGGGAAUUCCACGUGUAGCGGUGAAAUGCGUAGAGAUGUGGAGGAACACCUGUGGCGAAGGCGCCUUGCUGGCCAAUUUCUGACGCUGAGGCGCGAAAGCGUGGGGAGCAAACAGG
rnacentral:rRNA from 1 species